rnacentral:rRNA from 1 species
AGAACGAACGCUGGCGGCGCGCUUAACACAUGCAAGUCGCGCGGACGGGCUUCGGCCCGUCAGCGGCGCACGGGUGAGUAACGCGUGGGAACCUGCCCCGGGGCCCGGGACAACCGCGGGAAACUGCGGCUAAUACCGGGUACGACCCAUGGGUGAUAGGGGCUUCGGCCCCGCCCCGGGAUGGGCCCGCGUCCGAUUAGGUAGACGGCGGGGUAACGGCCCACCGUGCCUUCGAUCGGUAGCCGGUCUGAGAGGAUGAUCGGCCACACUGGGACUGAGACACGGCCCAGACUCCUACGGGAGGCAGCAGUGGGGAAUCUUGGACAAUGGGCGCAAGCCUGAUCCAGCGACGCCGCGUGGGUGACGAAGGCCUUCGGGUUGUAAAGCCCUUUUGCCGGGGACGAUGAUGACGGUACCCGGCGAAUAAGCUCCGGCUAACUCCGUGCCAGCAGCCGC